UCAGUUAUAGCGCCCGCCGUCACUGGCAAUUCCUAUUGGCCCAAAGGGUAGAGGCGUGCGGCGAACCUUGUUGUGGCGUUUCCUUCUAGUCGGGAAAGAGGCGAUUCACGAAAACCUGGAUCAUUUGUCAAUCAAAUUGUUUAAACCCGCUAUUUGGAAGUUAGGAGUGUUGCGGUUCAAUCUUACUGAAGGGAAAUGGAUGCAUAACAUGCAGGAGAGAUGUCUGAACUGUGAAGAAGUCCUAUUACUGGCAAUCAUGAUGCCAAUUGUGGAGAGUGCAUUUGAAAUUGACAGCCUGGUCUGAUGCCAUACCUCCAAUGAAGGGAGAGAUAAGGAGCCAACAGAGAGUGGGUGAAAGCAUUAUAUGUAAUCACAGAAAUGAAUUUGAGCUGUCCAUUUGAAUCACGAAAAUAAAUUUCACGAUCAGCA